rnacentral:misc_RNA from 1 species
UUGGGCACGACCUAUGUUCAAAGACCGGAGAAACUUUUCACGCAUGGUUGACCCUUUACUUAAAGGUCAAUAUCCUGUGAGAGGAUUGUACCAAGCUCUCGCCAUUGCUGCAAUGUGUGUUCAGGAGCAGCCUAAUAUGCGGCCUGCUGUGUCGGAUGUGGUUAUGGCUCUAAAUUAUCUGGCUUCUCAAAAAUAUGAUCCCCAAAUUGAUCCAGUCGAAGGCUCCCAUCAGACCUCAUCACGUCCUGGACUGAAGAAAGAUAAUGACAGAAGUGUAGGCAAUAUUUCUCCAUAGUCUAAUAUGGAAGGCCAAAUAAAUGGUUGAUAGCUUUUUGUCGUGUUUAUAUAAAAGGGUGCCUGGUGUCAAUUUUUGUAAAAUGGAGAUAUCUGGCAGUAGUUCCAUCCUUGGACUUCUCUGACAGAAAAUUUCUGCCCUUGCUUCUUCUCUUCUGUUGUACAUGUGAGCUGGGAUUCUUGUAUGUAAGAUGCUGUCUCUGUAGGAACCAUUUCCUUAAUUCAAUAGACUAGCCUUGAUUAUUUUUCAUAGUAACAAGUUCCCCUCUCUGGUUCUUGCUUUUUCUCCCAUCUUUUGCCUGAUAUGUACAGUAAAGGGGAAAUGUUUACCAAUUUUAGCAUAAAAUCCAUAGCCUUUUCCAG